GUGAGCUACAAUGAAACCAAUUACUCCACAGAUGUGACUCUGACAAUAUUAGUUCCUCCACUGGUCUCCAUCAUCUUACCUGAAGUAGUUUUGAAAAGAAAAACUUCGGUUGAAUGUUGGGCAAGGAGCUUUAGUCCUCCACAAAUCAUGUUUACCUGGACAAGAGCUGGAAACAAAAUCCAAGUACCCCAAAAGCUCCAAGUGAACCAUACAGAGGACGGGCUAUACGAUGCAGUCAGCUGGCUGACGUUCUUCCCUCAAGUCUCUGACCAGAAUACAAGCUUUGGCUGUGAGGUGCAACAUACAGCCUUGAUGAAACCUGUCCUAGAAGAGUUCACGCCACAUAUCAUAGAGAAGCGGAAGUCUCUGAAUGUCUCAGCGAUUGUUCUGCCACCCAGGGUGGUUGUGGGUAAGAAAGGCAGAGUCACCAUCAGUGUGGAAGGCAGGUUGGCAGAGAGGGUACAAACGACAUGGUUUCUGAAUGAUGUUCCCAUCACAGACACUUCAUACAAAGAGAAAAAAUAUGGUCCUUUUUGCUCGGCAGCCUACACUCCUCGCACCUCUCGUGUAUCUGUGGUGUCAGAAAAAAGUUCUCUGCUGCCCUCUACUGCCUCAGGAUAUUACAAGCUACAUACUCAGAUGUCACCUCGCUCGUCCUCCAGCUCAAUGAAACAACUCUUCUCCUCCGUCACAUUUAUACCCAACCUGUCCAUUCACAAGGGUGCAAUCUUGAAAUGCCACAUCUCGUAUAAGGGGAAAGACAAGAUUGUGGCUGAGAGAGUGUCCGACAAGUUUACUAUUCUAGGUCAGAGGCUAUGUUGAGGUCUCUCAUGUAUUACCUGCAGCUUGUUUUUAUGUGAAG
rnacentral:lncRNA from 1 species